AGAUGCGCGCACACCUGUUUAGAAUGAAGCCGUGCCCGCGCGUCACGAUGAGUUGCGCUGGGUCGAGAGGAACAAGAUUCAAGCAAGUUACAAAUCCGAGAAGAAAAUCGAUUCAAAAUAAAAACGUUGGAAGCAGUUGAGAAUGGCGCACUAUCGGCAGAUCUGCUCAAGUGAGUUUGUAAUGGAGCAGAGGGGAUGUCACCGGGUCGCUCUGAGGUAUUUUAACGUUUCCUGCGGGACAGAGAAGGAGAGAGAGCGAUAAAACCAAGAGUCAGCAGACUGAACUGGAAGAGCAUCAUUCAGGGCGCGUUCGGAGCUGGACAGCAGCAUCGCUUCAACUCAUUGUGUUCUACUGAUCAGCCCUGUGGAAACGCGACUGAAUGAACGACGUGGUACGUGCUUUCAACAGCAGAGGAUUUCGAGAGAAAGACCAUGAGAGAGCCCACUGGUGAGAUUCACAUUCAGACUGACUGACAUCCUGACAGCGUGGACUGGGGGAGCUCACCACUGAGCAGGGCAGCGCGUUCACACCGAGAUUCAUCCUGACAGCACGGACUGGGGGAGCUCACCACUGAGCAGGGCAGCGCGUUCACACCGAGAUUCAUCCUGACAGCACGGACUGGGGGAGCUCACCACUGAGCAGGGCAGCGCGUUCACACCGAGAUUCAUCCUGACAGCGUGGACUGGGGGAGCUCACCACUGAGCAGGGCAGCGCGUUCACACCGAGAUUCAUCCUGACAGCACGGACUGGGGGAGCUCACCACUGAGCAGGGCAGCGCGUUCACACCGAGAUUCAUCCUGACAGCACGGACUGGGGGAGCUCACCACUGAGCAGGGCAGCGCGUUCACACCGAGAUUCAUCCUGACAGCACGGACUGAGGGAGCUCACCACUGAGCAGGGCAGCGCGUUCACACCGAGAUUCAUCCUGACAGCACGGACUGGGGGAGCUCACCACUGAGCAGGGCAGCGCGUUCACACCGAGAUUCAUCCUGACAGCACGGACUGGGGGAGCUCACCACUGAGCAGGGCAGCGCGUUCACACCGAGAUUCAUCCUGACAGCACGGACUGGGGGAGCUCACCACUGAGCAGGGCAGCGCGUUCACACCGAGAUUCAUCCUGACAGCACGGACUGGGGGAGCUCACCACUGAGCAGGGCAGCGCGUUCACACCGAGAUUCAUCCUGACAGCACGGACUGGGGGAGCUCAGUGUUAUUGACUCAGUGGGUCGAUGCUUGAGUGGGGUAUCGUUCACUCAGAAGCAUCCUUCAG